rnacentral:misc_RNA from 1 species
AAAGUCGUAACAAGGUCUCCGUUGGUGAACCAGCGGAGGGAUCAUUACAGAGUAUCUUACUCACCAAACCAUUGUUUAUCUACCUACAUUGGCUUCUCCGGCAGGAGGUUCCAGGGCGGGACCAAGCCUAACAGCACCUGCCGAAGGGGCAACCCCACUGCUCUAUACUGUACUGUCUGAGUAACAAAAACAAAUAUCAAAAUUUUCAAUUGUGGAUCUCUUGGUUCUG